GUGACCAGCCUGACAGCUGCUCAGCGAUGCCACUGCUGUGAGCUGACAGUAACAGCUGAAGUUAACAUCUUGAUCAGCUGCUCUCGUCUCUCAGCCGGACAGUCACAGGACGUUCACAGAGAUUUUAGUGACGACGAGAGUUGUUGGACCAAAAGAAAAGUUCCAUCACAGUGAACUUCUGGAUUUUUAUAAUCUUCUCCCUCUAUAAAGGCCGAUCAGAUGACACAAUGACGCCCAGGUAUAAUAACGGCCUGCGAGCGAGAGAAAUGCUGAAGAGGCGUCGCAACAACGGCCAUGGGAUCUGAAACCCAUCAGACGUCUGGGAUCUCAGUCUGUGUGCAGACGGUGUUUCUAACCAAGCACAGCCGAGGCCACGAUCAGCAUCCAAAAAGACAAACUGAAAAUACAAAGACAAUGCCCUUGCUGUGGCAGCAUGAGACUGACGUUUGCCAGAAGGAGCUGAAGCGUAGAGAAGCCACGUCUCCCUGUCUCAGCGGUUCUGUCCUGUAUUUCAGCCUGUGAAGCAUCUAGAACGCGCAGGUCUUCUGGAAGUGGCCUUUAGAUUAUCCCUAAAGGCAGAACAACAGCCCACAGUGAUGGUCCUCUCUGGAACAGCCUUCCUGAAGACCUUCUUCUUCUUCUUCUUCUUCUUCGUCUGAUGUUUUAUGGCGGUUGGAAAACAGCUUUUGGUGCCACCUUCUGAAAUGGAGCGUGGAUCAGAAUGGUGUUAUGCCGUCCCUAUAUUUUACCCGUCCUGAGUUCAUAUGUAGUAACUCCUUUAUUCCGAACUUGAUGCAUACUUUUCCCAGUCUUUUUUUUUUAGAAAAAAGUACCUUGGACAAUUGAUAAUUACAUGUUCUACUGUUUCCUGUAUGUUACAAUACUCACACAGACCAGUCAUCUUAAGUGUACUGUUAAGACCAGUAUGCCCAAACCUCAUUCUCAACAUGUUUUUUUGUUUCCCUCAUUUCUCCGCUUUCUUUUGGAUACUAUAGUAAUGUCUACCUUUAGUUUCCCUGUUCCAGCUUUCCUGCCAUUUCUUUUUCAUUUCUACUUUAAUUGUGCGUUUAAGUUUUUCUGAAGACCUGAGGGCAACAGAGAAUUAAAAGCAAACUCUAGACCUACCUUUUUAGUCUGGUUUAUAUUGUAAUCUGUUUUAUUACUUGGUAAAACGUAUUAUUUGUGAGCGUGGUCAAUUUGGGUUGUUGCAGUUUGAAUGACGUGUAACUGUCUGCAGAAUGCCAAUAACUAGCAUGCAAAAAAUAAACAUUACAUUUCUAUUAUUACCAAACUACUUGUCAAUAUCUUAAGGUGAACUGCUAAAUAUACAUAUGGACAACCUACAAGCAACGCCUCUGCUGGAAAACCAACCGGGUGGCACCAGAUUGACACCUGAGCU